rnacentral:rRNA from 1 species
UACGAAGGUGGCUAGCGUUGUCCGGAAUUAUUGGGCGUAAAGAGCUCGUAGGCGGCCUGUCGCGUCGGUUGUGAAAGCCCGGGGCUCAACCCCGGGUCUGCAGUCGAUACGGGCAGGCUAGAGUUCGGUAGGGGAGAUCGGAAUUCCUGGUGUAGCGGUGAAAUGCGCAGAUAUCAGGAGGAACACCGGUGGCGAAGGCGGAUCUCUGGGCCGAUACUGACGCUGAGGAGCGAAAGCGUGGGGAGCGAACAGG